rnacentral:rRNA from 1 species
ACUCAAAUGAAUAGACGGGGGCCCGCACAAGCGGUGGAGCAUGUGGUUUAAUUCGACGCAACGCGCAGAACCUUACCAGCCCUUGACAUGCCCGUCGCGGGGACCAGAGAUGGACCCCUUCGGUUCGGCCGGACGGUGCACAGGUGCUGCAUGGCUGUCGUCAGCUCGUGUCGUGAGAUGUUGGGUUAAGUCCCGCAACGAGCGCAACCCUCGCCUUCAGUUGCCAUCAUUUAGUUGGGCACUCUGGAGGGACUGCCGGUGACAAGCCGGAGGAAGGUGGGGAUGACGUCAAGUCCUCAUGGCCCUUACGGGCUGGGCUACACACGUGCUACAAUGGCGGUGACAAUGGGCUGCGAUGGGGUGACCCGGAGCAAAUCCCAAAAAGCCGUCUCAGUUCGGAUUGCACUCUGCAACUCGAGUGCAUGAAGUCGGAAUCGCUAGUAAUCGCGCAACAGCAUGGCGCGGUGAAUACGUUCCCGGGCCUUGCACACACCGCCCGU